rnacentral:rRNA from 1 species
ACUCCUACGGGAGGCAGCAGUGGGGAAUAUUGCACAAUGGGGGAAACCCUGAUGCAGCCAUGCCGCGUGUGUGAAGAAGGCCUUCGGUUGUAAAGCACUUUCAGUAGGAGGAAGGUAGUGUAGUUAACACCUGCAUUAUUUGUACGUUACCUACAGAAGAAGCACCGGCUAACUCCGUGCCAGCAGCCGCGGUAAUACGGAGGGUGCGAGCGUUAAUCGGAAUUACUGGGCGUAAAGCGCAUGCAGGCGGCCUGUUAAGUCAGAUGUGAAAGCCCGGGGCUUAACCUCGGAAUUGCAUUUGAAACUGGCAGGCUAGAGUCUUGUAGAGGGGUUAGGAAUUUCAGGUGUAGCGGUGAAAUGCGUAGAGAUCUGAAGGAAUACCAGUGGCGAA